rnacentral:rRNA from 1 species
GACGAACGCUGGCGGCGUGCUUAACACAUGCAAGUCGAACGGAAAGGCCUGCUUUCCCUUGUGGAUUGCGGGUACUCGAGUGGCGAACGGGUGAGUAACACGUGAGUGAUCUGCCCCCAACUUGGGUAUAAGCCUGGGAAACUGGGUCUAAUUCCCGAUAGGACUGCAGGGUGGUGCCUGUGGUGGAAAACGAUUUUCUAGUGGUUGGGGAUGAGCUCGCGGCCUAUCAGCUUGUUGGUGGGGUAAUGGCCUACCAAGGCGGCGACGGGUAGCCGGCCUGAGAGGGUGGACGGCCACAUUGGGACUGAGAUACGGCCCAGACUCCUACGGGAGGCAGCAGUGGGGAGUAUUGCACGAUGGGCGGGAGCCUGAUGCAGCGACGCCGCGUGGGGGAUGACGGCCUUCGGGUUGUAACCUCCUUUCGACCGCGGGGAAGCCACCUGGUUGGGAGGGUGGUGACGGUAGUGGUAGAAGAAGCACCGGCUAACUACGUG